UAUAUGGAAAUGUACAGAGCAUAAAAGAUUUUGAUUCUUUAAGAUUUGGUGCAACUCCAAACCAUAUAG
rnacentral:tRNA from 1 species